GAUUCCUUGUGCGCUUCUAUCCUACGUGCAUAAUAUUACCCAGAUGAUGAUCUGUUAAAUGCAAAGUUAAAAAAAGACUCUUCCUUCACAUGGCAAAGUAUAAUGGUAGGCACAAAUACACUGAAACGUGGCUACAUUUGGCGAGUGGGGAACGAACACAACAUCAAUAUCUGGGAAGAUACCUGGAUCCCAAACAAUGCAACUAGGAAAAUUGUAACGCCUAACGGAGGGAACAUGAUAACUAAGGUAGGUGAUCUCAUUGAUCCUGCUUCUAAUACUUGGGAUGAAGACCUGAUUGAACAAACUAUGUGGUCAAUCGAUGUACAAAGGAUUCUUUUAGUUCCCCUACCGCAACAUGAUAUGCAAGAUUUCAUUGCCUGGAAUUAUCAAAAAAAUGGUAUUUUCUCGGUUCGAUCAGCCUAUUUUCUGGAGUGGGAUCACCAGUAUGGAAGUAAACUGAAACACUCUAAUGGGAUGGGGCGAACCACAGCUAACCCUAUUUGGAGUAAGAUAUGGAAGUUAGCCUGUCCGGCAAAAGUUAAAAUUUUCUUAUGGCGUACGCUACAUGGUACAAUCCCAUGCCGAGUUACGCUAGCAAACAGACAUAUGAAGAUCUCACCCAUCUGCCUCACGUGCUUGGAGGGUUUAGAAGAUACAAAACAUAUGCUCUUCCGCUGUAGUAAAGCAAAGGAGGUCUGGAAGAGGCUAGGGAUGGAUGAUAUUAUUGAUAAAGCUUGUGAAGUUGACCGUGUGGGAGAGGCGGUGUUAGAGUAUCUACUAGUCCUACCAGAUCAACAUUUGUGGAUAUUGGGUUACCAUAAUGUACGUGAGAUGAUUGCCAUUUCAACAUGGUACCUAUGA
rnacentral:rRNA from 1 species